UCCUUCCGCAGUGUACACUUAUCGAAGCCUUUGCAGCCACGCAAGUGGUAGGCCCCCGCGACUCUAAAUAAGCAGGCGCUGCGUGCAAGUCGCGCCUUCCUUCUCAGGAGGUGUCGGCGACACUUUUGAAUUGCGGGGACACCCUAAAGCCAGUCGCACCAACCAAUGUAGGAAACCGCAUUGGGGCCCAUGAACACAUCAUGGGGGAAGGUAAUAGACGACUUGGAUAGUUCUGCCCCAGGCAGAGAUGAUGGGCAAUCCGCAGCGAAGCCCCUACGUCCUCCGGGAUAUGGGGAACGUUCACAGACUAAGUGGAAGUGGGUGGGCACCCUGUUCCGGGGUCCUGCUUAAGAUAUAGUCGGGCUCUCUAGGAAACUGGAGAGACAAGUACACUGUUUGGGAUUUUUACAGAGGGGGAGCUGUCUAGGGGUUGUUUCGAGGAUUGCAUAUGUCACGUGGUAUUUAUAUGUACCCUUCCUGGUGUUGAGAUGUGCGCUUGCCUCAGGACGCAGCUUUCUAGUUGAGUCCCCCAGUCAAAACUCUGUUGAAACUUCCCAUUGUGAACUCUAGCCGUUCCGUAGGUGAACCUGCGGAAGGAUCAUUACCGAGUGCGAGCCCUCUGGGCUCAACCUCCCACCCGUGCCGUUAUAAUACCUGUUGCUUUGGCGGGCCCACUGGGGUCACCUGGUCGCUUGGGGACGCCUGUCCCCGGGCCCGCGCCCGCCGAAGCACCCCCUGAACUCUGAAGAAGAUAGGGCUGUCUGAGUACCUAGAAAAUUGUCAAAACUUUCAACAAUGGAUCUCUUGGUUCCGGCAUCGAUGAAGAACGCAGCGAAAUGCGAUAAGUAAUGUGAAUUGCAGAAUUCCGUGAAUCAUCGAAUCUUUGAACGCACAUUGCGCCCCCUGGCAUUCCGGGGGGCAUGCCUGUCCGAGCGUCAUUUCUGCCCUCAAGCACGGCUUGUGUGUUGGGUGUGGUCCCCCCGGGGACCUGCCCCAAAGGCAGCGGCGACGCCCGUCGGGUCCUCGAGCGCAUGGGGCUUUGUCACUCGCUCGGGAGGGACCUGCGGGGGUUGGUCACCACCAAAUCU
rnacentral:misc_RNA from 1 species